CUGUGGUUAACUAACUGCAGUGAGCCAUACUGGUGGUGUGUGAUAUACAAUUACAUCCAGUGAUUUGGUCUUCAGCUCUGCUGUAUUUAUAACAGGAAUCUACAACCUUUGAGACUGAGAUGUACAUGUCACCUUCCUUUGAUAUGACCAAGCAGAGAAGUGCAACAAGAAGUCUCAGUGUAGUACUGACAUUUUACUUCUAACUAAAAGAUUUCCUUUUGCAGUUAAACUGUACUUUUUCAACUUUCCACAUGUUCAUAUUUAAGUAAUAAAAUGAAAUAUAUAAACCAGCACUAUUUUUUUUUCCAUCUAUAAGGGACAAUUUCCCUAGUAAGGUAGUUUUUUCAGGAGUAUUACAUGUAAAAAACAAUGAAUCAGAAUAAAAAAUUUUGAUUUGCUAUUGCUUUGUUUAAUAGAUAAAUAAGUCUUUAACAACCUCUCCAAAAGAACUGCAAAACCUGUAAUCACUUUUAUUUCUUUCUUUAACAAUUCAGUCACAGAUGACCAGACAAAUGCAUUGGUUAAUUGUACAUUAUCCUGUGGUUGGAUAAAGGAAAUAUGAUAUUUUUAAGGGUUUUCAAAAAAGUGUGUAUUUGUUUCUUCAAGAACUUGAGCAUUCUUAGUGACACUUUCUUAAAAAUAGAUCACAGAACUGGAGACAAAUAAAAAUAAAUGUGAUGUCACUCUUA